UAUAGACUUUAGCUAUACCAUCAAAGCCUUGAGUAGCAAGAAGAAGCUUGGUUAGUGUUUUGGAGUCAAAUAUUACUAGAUGUCAUGUGUAUGAGUGAGUAUGACAACUAGAACCAUAACCGGAUCUUAAAAACCUAAGUAUUGAAUCUUUGUUAGAAGAUACAAAGAAAAAGACUCUUACGGACUUCGACUACACUAUCAAAGCUUUGAGAAGCAAGAAGAAGCUUGGUUAGUGUUUUGGAUUCGAAUAUGACUUGAUGUCAUGUGUAUGACUCAGUAUAAACACUAGAACCGCAACGGAUCUUAAAAGCAUAAGUAUUGUAUCAUUGUUAGAAGAUACAAUGACGAAGACUCAUACGGACUUCGACUACACCAUCAAAGCUUUGAGAAGCAAGAAGCAGUUGGUUAGUGUUUUGGAGUCGAAUAUGACUUGAUGGCAUGUGUAUGAGUGAGUAUAAAAACUAGAACCGCAACGGAUCUUAAAAGCCUAAAUAUUGUAUCCUUGUUAGAAGAUACAUAGACAAAGUCUCAUACGGAAUUCGGCUAAACCAUCAAAGCUUUUAGAAGCAAGAAGAAGCUUGGUUAGUGUUUUGGAGUGAAAUCUAACUAGAUGUCAUGUGUAUGAGUGAGUAUACCAACUAGAACCACAAUUAGAAUUUUAAAAGCCUAAGUAUUAUAUCCUUUUUAGAAGAUACAAAGACAAACACUCAUACGGACUUUGGUUACACCAUCAAAGCGUUGAGAAGCAAGAAGAAGCUUGGUUAGUGUUUUGGAGUCGAAUAUGACUUGAUGUGAUGUGUAUGAUUGAGUAUAAGAAAUUAAACCGCAACCGGAUCUUAAAAGCCUAGGUAUUGUUUCCUUGUUAGAAGAAACAAAGGCAAAGCCUCAUACAAACUUUAGCUUUACCAUCAAAGCCUUGCGAAGAAAGAAGAAGCUUGGUUAGUGUUUUGGAGUCAAAUAUUACUAGAUGUCAUGUGUAUGAGUGAGUAUGACAACUAGAACCAUAACCGGAUCUUAAAAACCUAAGUAUUGAAUCUUUGUUAGAAGAUACAAAGACAAAGACUCAUACGGACUUCGACUACACUAUCAAAGCUUUGAGAAGCAAGAAGAAGCUUGGUUAGUGUUUUGGAUUCGAAUAUGACUUGAUGUCUUGUGUAUGACUCAGUAUAAACACUAGAACCGCAACGGAUCUUAAAAGCAUAAGUAUUGUAUCAUUGUUAGAAGAUACAAUGACGAAGACUCAUACGGACUUCGACUACACCAUCAAAGCUUUGAGAACCAAGAAGCAGUUGGUUAGUGUUUUGGAGUCGAAUAUGACUUGAUGUCAUGUGUAUGAGUGAGUAUAAAAACUAGAACCGCAACGGAUCUUAAAAGCCUAAAUAUUGUAUCCUUGUUAGAAGAUACAUAGACAAAGUCUCAUACGGAAUUCGGCUAAACCAUCAAAGCUUUUAGAAGCAAGAAGAAGCCUUGUUAGUGUUUUGGAGUGAAAUCUAACUAGAUGUCAUGUGUAUGAGUGAGUAUACCAACUAGAACCACAAUUGGAAUUUUAAAAGCCUAAGUAUUGUAUCCUUGUUAAAAGAUACAAAGACAAACACUCAUACGGACAUUGGCUACACCAUCAAAGCUUUGAGAAGCAAGAAGAAGCUUGGUUAGUGUUUUGGAGUCGAAUAUGUUUUGAUGUGAUGUGUAUGAUUGAGUAUAAGAAAUUAAACUGCAACCGGAUCUUAAAAGCCUAAGUAGUGUUUCCGUGUUAGAAGAUACAAAGGCAAAGCCUCAUAAGGACUUGAGCUAUACCAUCAAAGCCUUGAGAAGCAAGAAGAAGCUUGGUUAGUGUUUUGGAGUCAAAUAUUACUAGAUGUCAUGUGUAUGUGUGAAUAUGACAACUAGAACCAUAACCAGAUU
rnacentral:sRNA from 1 species